rnacentral:tRNA from 1 species
GCCUCGGUUGUGUAAUGGAAGGUACGGCAGUCCGGAUAUCUGUAAGUGUGGGUACGAGUCCCGCCUGAGGUG